rnacentral:lncRNA from 1 species
GGGACUGCAUCUACUGUUUCAUUUCCAACUACCUAAUAUUAUGUUUUCUUUCUUUAAGAACAUGCCAAGUAACAGUUUUCUUUUCGUUACAAAUGUCUGCAUCAAGAAUCUCUUAAUUAAAACAAAUUCAUAACAUAUUCGUAUUGUGUUUUAAUUACAUCUUCUCGCUUCUGUCCUUUCAAUGCAACAAUUCAGCGACCAAAGUCUCAAAUCUAUGUUACUUAAAACAUCUCGAUUCGUUGC